rnacentral:rRNA from 1 species
AGAGUUUGAUCAUGGCUCAGGAUAAACGCUGGCGGCGUGCCUAACACAUGCAAGUCGAACGCCCUGCGUAAGCAGGGAGUGGCGGACGGGUGAGGAACACGUGAGUACCUACCCUUCAGUGAGGAAUACCGGCGAGAAAUCGCCGACAAGACCGCAUACGCUCGGGCAACCGAGGAAAGCUCGCAAGAGCGCUGGAGGAU